rnacentral:rRNA from 1 species
CAGUCGCCACGGUAAUACGAAGGGUGCAAGCGUUAAUCGGAAUUACUGGGCGUAAAGCGUGCGUAGGUGGUGGUUUAAGUCCGUUGUGAAAGCCCUGGGCUCAACCUGGGAAUUGCAGUGGAUACUGGGUCACUAGAGUGUGGUAGAGGAUAGUGGAAUUUCCGGUGUAGCAGUGAAAUGCGUAGAGAUCGGAAGGAACAUCUGUGGCGAAGGCGACUAUCCGGGCCAACACUGACACUGAGGCACGAAAGCGUGGGGAGCAAACAGGAUUAGAUACCCCUGUAGUCCCUGUCUCUUAUAC